rnacentral:misc_RNA from 1 species
UUUCCGUAGGUGAACCUGCGGAAGGAUCAUUAACGAGUUUUGAAUGAAGUUGUUCUGGUCUUUCGGGGCAAGUGAACGCUUCUCUCAAUCCAUCUUACACCUGUGCACUUAUCGGGGAAGACUUGGGUCUAAGUUGGGCAACGACGGUGAUCUAUAGUCUCCUCUUUAUACCAAAUAACAGUCUUAGAACGUCUUUUUUGCUUGAUGCAAACUUUUAAAUACAACUUUCAGCAACGGAUCUCUUGGCUCUC